AAAGCGUGCGCAGGCGGUUAUGCAAGACAGAGGUGAAAUCCCCGGGCUCAACCUGGGAACUGCCUUUGUGACUGCAUGACUAGAGUACGGUAGAGGGGGAUGGAAUUCCGCGUGUAGCAGUGAAAUGCGUAGAUAUGCGGAGGAACACCGAUGGCGAAGGCAAUCCCCUGGACCUGUACUGACGCUCAUGCACGAAAGCGUGGGGAGCAAACAGGAUUAGAUACCCGUGU
rnacentral:rRNA from 1 species